CAUUAUUAUUUAUGAUCAGUUAUCAUAAACAACACAUACAAAUUUAACAACAUUUUGCAAUUCAUUAUUUUAUUUAAUAAAAAAUAAAAUAUUUAUGACUUAUCGACUUAAAAUCAAAAACAAAGUUAUGUUACAACUUGUCCACCUUUGGAAAACACACGUUCACUCGGAACAGAUGUACCUUGUAUGCAAAAACGCCGUUUCAUUAUUUCAAACAAAGUUCUUGAAGAUACUUAUCUAUUUCGAUAAUCAUCAACGCUUUUGGAUCCUGAGACUGAACUAUAUCAGUAACUUCCAAAUCAAAGUCGUUCCAAAUUGAAUCUUCUUUAUUACUCGCUGUCGGUGGUAUCGGAUCUUUUGGUGUCUUGAAAAGCAAAAUGAUUUUUGAAUCCAUAUUUUUUAAACCGAGGAUCCAAAAAUGUUGCCUCAGCUAACAGCAUAUCUUUUUCUAAGUGACCAAAUCUCUUAUUUGUUUCUUCAGUUAAUUUAUGUAUAAAGUUGUCUAUGCAUGGAAUUGACUGAUGUUGGGUCAUUAGUUUGUUACAAAAGUUAAUUAAAGCCUGGAAUAUCGCAAGAUUUACUUAUUAUCUGCCAAUCAUCUGAAGUUAAACUGACAUCAUAAUUAAGAUCUGCUAAGGAAGACAGUAUUGGAGUUUUCAAUUCAAAAAACCGUUGAAACAUAUGAAACGUAGAAUUCCAACGGGUGACUACGUCUUGUAUAAGUGUAUGGACUGGAGAGUAACCUAAUUGCUCCUGCAUUUGUUUCAAUUUUUCAGUGGCGAGUGUACUUUUUUUAAAGUACUCGACAAUGCUUUUAACUUUAACUC